rnacentral:rRNA from 1 species
GUGGGGAAUAUUGGACAAUGGGCGAAAGCCUGAUCCAGCCAUGCCGCGUGUGUGAAGAAGGUCUUCGGAUUGUAAAGCACUUUAAGUUGGGAGGAAGGGCAGUAAGUUAAUACCUUGCUGUUUUGACGUUACCAACAGAAUAAGCACCGGCUAACUUCGUGCCAGCAGCCGCGGUAAUACGAAGGGUGCAAGCGUUAAUCGGAAUUACUGGGCGUAAAGCGCGCGUAGGUGGUUCAGCAAGUUGAAGGUGAAAUCCCCGGGCUCAACCUGGGAACUGCCUCCAAAACUACUGAGCUAGAGUACGGUAGAGGGUAGUGGAAUUUCCUGUGUAGCGGUGAAAUGCGUAGAUAUAGGAAGGAACACCAGUGGCGAAGGCGACUACCUGGACUGAUACUGACACUGAGGUGCGAAAGCGUGGGGAGCAAACAGGAUUAGAUACCCGGGUAGUCC